GUGGGGAAUUUUGGACAAUGGGCGCAAGCCUGAUCCAGCAAUGCCGCGUGCAGGAAGAAGGCCUUCGGGUUGUAAAGCACUUUUGGCAGGAAAGAAAUAGCGCGUGCUAAUACCAUGCGCAAAUGACGGUACCUGCAGAAUAAGCACCGGCUAACUACGUGCCAGCAGCCGCGGUAAGACGUAGGGUGCAAGCGUUAAUCGGAAUUACUGGGCGUAAAGCGUGCGCAGGCGGUUUUGUAAGACAGGUGUGAAAUCCCCGGGCUCAACCUGGGAACUGCACUUGUGACUGCAAGGCUAGAGUGUGUCAGAGGGAGGUGGAAUUCCGCGUGUAGCAGUGAAAUGCGUAGAGAUGCGGAGGAACACCGAUGGCGAAGGCAGCCUCCUGGGAUAACACUGACGCUCAGGCACGAAAGCGUGGGGAGCAAACAGGAUUAGAAACCCCGGUAGUCC
rnacentral:rRNA from 1 species